AUGCAAAGUAAGCAUGUGAAAGUAAAUUACUUGUUACUUACCCGAGUCCGGAGCUCUCCAGGAGCAUUCGCAGAUUUGCCCUGCAGCGUGUCGGAUGCCGCGAAAUAUUACCAGGCCGAGGAGGGAAGCUCGACAGAGAAGUUGUUCUGGUCUCAGUAUACUGGGACCGAACCUCCGAUGCCUAUGAGCGACCAGCUGAAGCAACUGGUCGAGCUGCACAAGGCGGCCGAACAGGCCAUGAGAGGCCUUAUAGUCCAGAUGUGGCCUGGCGACUCCCUUCCCAACAGCUACUUCGGCCUGGUGAGGCGGCUUGCGGAUGCCUACCCACGGCUGGAGGUCAUAAAGCGGUCCGUCUGCAUCGAAGGUGCACGUCGGGCCUUUGCCCGUGCGAAGGUGCACUGGGCCAAGAUGGAUGCCGAGAAGCUGGUGAAGGAGGGGCCGCCGCAGGGCAAGGAGCAUCGCCACCCUGAGAUGUAUUAUGAGGGUGUCCUGAAGGGUGCCCGUCUUGUGGCGGACGAGUGUGCGAAGGAUGUAAUAUUUGAAUGA
rnacentral:rRNA from 1 species